rnacentral:rRNA from 1 species
UAAGUAAGUGGUGGAAAUUAAACCAAAUGGGAUAUCUUUAGUAAUUGCGAAUGAACAAGGAUAUGCUUAGCUUGACAAAUGGAGCUAUUGGCUUUGAAUUGUAUUGUGGAAAUGUAUUACCAACAGAGGUGCAGGUGCCAGCCUAUUGAAAUAAAGCGUCAAUGAGGGUGAGAAUCCUGUUUGUCAUGUGCAGCCCUUUGUGCACGGUGUAUAUUUGCUGAGUCACACUCCUUGGCAUUGGAAUGCAAAGUGGGUGGUAAGUUUCAUGUAAAGGUAAACAUGCAAUUGAGACUGAUAGCACACAAGUACCAUGAGGGAAAUAUGAAAAGGACUUUGAAAAGAGAAUUAAAUGAGUUUGUAUUUGCUGAACACAAAGUAAACAGACUUGAUUUGCUUGGUGGGAGUGUUGCACUUGCUUGACAAGAGCUUUGGGCUGUGGGUGUAAUGAUUCUUUCUUUGCAUGCCAGUUUCUAUGUGUACAUCUGAUUACCUUUGCACAUGAAUGAUAAGUCUCCUGUGGGGGGUGGAUUGCAUGUGCAUGUAAUGAUUUGUGUUUUGAUAAAUGUGUCUGGUGUAUGUGUGUGUUCCUGUGCUUGGGGAUGCUUCCUUCCUUGGACUUACAAGCCCUGACACACACAUGCUGGCAAAAUGCUUCUGCUUGACCCG